AGCGUACACGGUGGAUGCCCUGGCAGUCAGAGGCGAUGAAGGACGUGCUAAUCUGCGAUAAGCGUCGGUAAGGUGAUAUGAACCGUUAUAACCGGCGAUUUCCGAAUGGGGAAACCCAGUGUGAUUCGUCACACUAUCAUUAACUGAAUCCAUAGGUUAAUGAGGCGAACCGGGGGAACUGAAACAUCUAAGUACCCCGAGGAAAAGAAAUCAACCGAGAUUCCCCCAGUAGCGGCGAGCGAACGGGGAGCAGCCCAGAGCCUGAAUCAGUGUGUGUGUUAGUGGAAGCGUCUGGAAAGGCGCGCGAUACAGGGUGACAGCCCCGUACACAAAAAUGCACAUGCUGUGAGCUCGAUGAGUAGGGCGGGACACGUGGUAUCCUGUCUGAAUAUGGGGGGACCAUCCUCCAAGGCUAAAUACUCCUGACUGACCGAUAGUGAACCAGUACCGUGAGGGAAAGGCGAAAAGAACCCCGGCGAGGGGAGUGAAAAAGAACCUGAAACCGUGUACGUACAAGCAGUGGGAGCACGCUUAGGCGUGUGACUGCGUACCUUUUGUAUAAUGGGUCAGCGACUUAUAUUCUGUAGCAAGGUUAACCGAAUAGGGGAGCCGAAGGGAAACCGAGUCUUAACUGGGCGUUAAGUUGCAGGGUAUAGACCCGAAACCCGGUGAUCUAGCCAUGGGCAGGUUGAAGGUUGGGUAACACUAACUGGAGGACCGAACCGACUAAUGUUGAAAAAUUAGCGGAUGACUUGUGGCUGGGGGUGAAAGGCCAAUCAAACCGGGAGAUAGCUGGUUCUCCCCGAAAGCUAUUUAGGUAGCGCCUCGUGAAUUCAUCUCCGGGGGUAGAGCACUGUUUCGGCAAGGGGGUCAUCCCGACUUACCAACCCGAUGCAAACURCGAAUACCGGAGAAUGUUAUCACGGGAGACACACGGCGGGUGCUAACGUCCGUCGUGAAGAGGGAAACAACCCAGACCGCCAGCUAAGGUCCCAAAGUCAUGGUUAAGUGGGAAACGAUGUGGGAAGGCCCAGACAGCCAGGAUGUUGGCUUAGAAGCAGCCAUCAUUUAAAGAAAGCGUAAUAGCUCACUGGUCGAGUCGGCCUGCGCGGAAGAUGUAACGGGGCUAAACCAUGCACCGAAGCUGCGGCAGCGACGCUUAUGCGUUGUUGGGUAGGGGAGCGUUCUGUAAGCCUGYGAAGGUGUGCUGUGAGGCAUGCUGGAGGUAUCAGAAGUGCGAAUGCUGACAUAAGUAACGAUAAAGCGGGUGAAAAGCCCGCUCGCCGGAAGACCAAGGGUUCCUGUCCAACGUUAAUCGGGGCAGGGUGAGUCGACCCCUAAGGCGAGGCCGAAAGGCGUAGUCGAUGGGAAACAGGUUAAUAUUCCUGUACUUGGUGUUACUGCGAAGGGGGGACGGAGAAGGCUAUGUUGGCCGGGCGACGGUUGUCCCGGUUUAAGCGUGUAGGCUGGUUUUCCAGGCAAAUCCGGAAAAUCAAGGCUGAGGCGUGAUGACGAGGCACUACGGUGCUGAAGCAACAAAUGCCCUGCUUCCAGGAAAAGCCUCUAAGCAUCAGGUAACAUCAAAUCGUACCCCAAACCGACACAGGUGGUCAGGUAGAGAAUACCAAGGCGCUUGAGAGAACUCGGGUGAAGGAACUAGGCAAAAUGGUGCCGUAACUUCGGGAGAAGGCACGCUGAUAUGUAGGUGAAGUCCCUCGCGGAUGGAGCUGAAAUCAGUCGAAGAUACCAGCUGGCUGCAACUGUUUAUUAAAAACACAGCACUGUGCAAACACGAAAGUGGACGUAUACGGUGUGACGCCUGCCCGGUGCCGGAAGGUUAAUUGAUGGGGUUAGCGCAAGCGAAGCUCUUGAUCGAAGCCCCGGUAAACGGCGGCCGUAACUAUAACGGUCCUAAGGUAGCGAAAUUCCUUGUCGGGUAAGUUCCGACCUGCACGAAUGGCGUAAUGAUGGCCAGGCUGUCUCCACCCGAGACUCAGUGAAAUUGAACUCGCUGUGAAGAUGCAGUGUACCCGCGGCAAGACGGAAAGACCCCGUGAACCUUUACUAUAGCUUGACACUGAACAUUGAGCCUUGAUGUGUAGGAUAGGUGGGAGGCUUWGAAGUGUGGACGCCAGUCUGCAUGGAGCCGACCUUGAAAUACCACCCUUUAAUGUUUGAUGUUCUAACGUKGACCCGUAAUCCGGGUUGCGGACAGUGUCUGGUGGGUAGUUUGACUGGGGCGGUCUCCUCCUAAAGAGUAACGGAGGAGCACGAAGGUUGGCUAAUCCUGGUCGGACAUCAGGAGGUUAGUGCAAUGGCAUAAGCCAGCUUGACUGCGAGCGUGACGGCGCGAGCAGGUGCGAAAGCAGGUCAUAGUGAUCCGGUGGUUCUGAAUGGAAGGGCCAUCGCUCAACGGAUAAAAGGUACUCCGGGGAUAACAGGCUGAUACCGCCCAAGAGUUCAUAUCGACGGCGGUGUUUGGCACCUCGAUGUCGGCUCAUCACAUCCUGGGGCUGAAGUAGGUCCCAAGGGUAUGGCUGUUCGCCAUUUAAAGUGGUACGCGAGCUGGGUUUAGAACGUCGUGAGACAGUUCGGUCCCUAUCUGCCGUGGGCGCUGGAGAAYUGAGGGGGGCUGCUCCUAGUACGAGAGGACCGGAGUGGACGCAUCACUGGUGUUCGGGUUGUCAUGCCAAUGGCACUGCCCGGUAGCUAAAUGCGGAAGAGAUAAGUGCUGAAAGCAUCUAAGCACGAAACUUGCCCCGAGAUGAGUUCU
rnacentral:rRNA from 1 species